CCUGGUAGUCCACGCUGUAAACGAUGUCGACUUGGAGGUUGUGCCCUUGAGGCGUGGCUUCCGGAGCUAACGCGUUAAGUCGACCGCCUGGGGAGUACGGCCGCAAGGUUAAAACUCAAAUGAAUUGACGGGGGCCCGCACAAGCGGUGGAGCAUGUGGUUUAAUUCGAUGCAACGCGAAGAACCUUACCUACUCUUGACAUCCACGGAAUUCGCCAGAGAUGGCUUAGUGCCUUCGGGAACCGUGAGACAGGUGCUGCAUGGCUGUCGUCAGCUCGUGUUGUGAAAUGUUGGGUUAAGUCCCGCAACGAGCGCAACCCUUAUCCUUUGUUGCCAGCACGUAAUGGUGGGAACUCAAAGGAGACUGCCGGUGAUAAACCGGAGGAAGGUGGGGAUGACGUCAAAGUCAUCAUGGCCCUUACGAGUAGGGCUACACACGUGCUACAAUGGCAUAUACAAAGAGAAGCGAACUCGCGAGAGCAAGCGGACCUCAUAAAGUAUGUCGUAGUCCGGAUUGGAGUCUGCAACUCGACUCCAUGAAGUCGGAAUCGCUAGUAAUCGUAGAUCAGAAUGCUACGGUGAAUACGUUCCCGGGCCUUGUACACACCGCCCGUCACACCAUGGGAGUGGGUUGCAAAAGAAGUAGGUAGCUUAAC
rnacentral:rRNA from 2 species